rnacentral:rRNA from 1 species
AUAACUUACCCUUAGGACUGGGAUAACUCUGGGAAACUGGGGAUAAUACCGGAUAUUAGGCUAUGCCUGGAAUGGUUUGCCUUUGAAACGUUCUUUUCGCCUAAGGAUAGAUCUGCGGCUGAUUAGGUCGUUGGUGGGGUAAUGGCCCACCAAGCCUAUGAUCGGUACGGGUUGUGAGAGCAAGAGCCCGGAGAUGGAACCUGAGACAAGGUUCCAGACCCUACGGGGUGCAGCAGGCGCGAAACCUCCACAAUGUACGAAAGUGCGAUGGGGGAAUCCCAAGUGUUAUUCUUAACAGAAUAGCUUUUCAUUAGUGUAAAAAGCUUUUAGAAUAAGAGCUGGGCAAGACCGGUGCCAGCCGCCGCGGUAACACCGGCAGCUCGAGUGGUAGCUGUUUUUAUUGGGCCUAAAGCGUUCGUAGCCGGUUUGAUUAGUCUUUGGUGAAAGCUUGUAGCUUAACUAUAAGAAUUGCUGGAGAUACUAUCAGACUUGAAGUCGGGAGAGGUUAGAGGUACUACCGGGGUAGGGGUGAAAUCCUAUAAUCCUGGGAGGACCACCUGUGGCGAAAGCGUCUAACUAGAACGAUCUUGACGGUGAGUAACGAAAGCCAGGGGCGCGAACCGGAUUAGAUACCCGGGUAGUCCUGGCCGUAAACGAUGUGGACUUGGUGUUGGAAUGGCUUCGAGUUGUUCCAGUGCCGAAGGGAAGCUGUUAAGUCCACCGCCUGGGAAGUACGGUCGCAAGACUGAAACUUAA